rnacentral:lncRNA from 1 species
CAGACAAGGGCUGCAGGCAAAGGGAGCCCACAGCAACUCCCCAGGGCAGCUGUUCGUGGGGCAGGGUGGCAGUGGGAUUAGGAGUGUCGCCACGACUCGUGUCUUCUUCCAGAUGUGCUGAGACUGGCAAAGCAGAAAUAGGACUUGAAGCAAUAGAGUGCCAGAUGGGCUCUGCACAAGGUCCCUUCCCAGCUACACGUGGCAGUGCCAGGUCACAGAUGUCCUGGUAAAUCAGCCCUUGUACUCCCAUAGCACUUGCCUCCUGUAGCCUUGAACGCCAGGGACCGAGGUUCGUGGCAAACAUGCCUUUGCUUGCCACAGAUAAUGACACUUCUUCACAGCCUGGUUCUUUUUGGGACCCUGCCACAUGCCAGCAGUGCACAGCUGGACCCCUGGGCAGGAGUUCAAUCCCAAAGCACCCUAGCCCAGGGGAGUGACAGGACUCCAAGUCUUAGAGUGGGCUAGCAAUUAAAUCAACUUUGCUCUCACUUCCUGUAUUUCACUUCUACCUCCUGUUUAGCAAUAUUUUGGGGAGAGAGAUGUUUUAUUUUCUCUCUGUCAGUCCUGGGGGUGGCUGAGUUAGCAAGACAAGCACGUAUUUGGCACUAUGACCCAGGGCAGGUCUCCUCAGUUGCAAGGACACCUGGGUACUGCUUCUUUCAUGAUUGCAUUUGCUGUUGUAGGAUGUGGUUUAGCUUAUCAGCUUUUGAUAACAAAGUUCAUGCUUUGUAGCCAGGCAGAAGUGCAUCAGGAAGUGAGAAAGGAGAAGAGUCAAACUGCAGCAUGCCAGAUGUAGAAUCAGCCGUAGCGCGGUAGGGGACAGCUGUGAUUUGGAUGAAGAGCCCGCCCGGUUCUGUUCUGAUCCAAGCUGCUUUGAGGGUUUGGUGCCGGGAUCGAGACCUCUGCAGUGGGAGCACUCCCGGAGCAGCAAGCCAGCAUCCACGCUUGGCUCUUCUCCAGCAGCGAGGAAUUGUACUGACAGCUGGCAAUGAUCCUCCAUCACCUUAUCACCUCAUAACCACUGGAAAGAAGUGCUGAGCUAGGGGCAGAAGCAGACUCCACAUUACCAUCCCUGCCAGAUGACCACAGAGCCGCAAUCCAAAGCAGUGCCAGCCAGGAGAGAUAUUGCCCAUCUACCUCCCAGCUGCAGAUGACAGGAAUGACCUGCCCGUGGCUUCUCAGAGGGGAACAACAUCCCUCAGUGCUCUUCUUUGUGUCUCCUCAGCCCACCAACAGGCUCAGCCACCUCA